CUCAGCAACGAACAAGUUCGCACAGAAUUGGUGCGAACUUUUUUGAUUAUUCGUCAUACAUGAUGUGACUCCAAGAUCUGAACGGUCCAUGUGAAGCAGCACCUCAUUAAACCCGAUGGGCCAAAUUUUUACUUUGAUCCAAAACCUUGGUGGGUGAUGAAAAAUGAAAACAGUUUCCUCCCUCGAUUUCCAUUUCUCUUUGCUAUGGCCCACUAGAAUUUUUUAUCACGGUGAAAAUUUUUCUCUUGAGGUUUCAUGGGAUUUCGCAUCACAUGGACUGUUCGGAUUAGAUGCCCAUGAUAAGUGUACAAAGGUGUGCACAUGCGUAGGUGUGCUGGUGAGCAUGACUCAAUAUGCUAAAUGCUCAUCUGUGCACCAAUCCGCACGGAACUCAUGCAAACUUUUUUGAGAACUCAUCAUACAUGUUGUGACUCCAAAAUCAGAACGGUCCACGUGAAGCAGCACCUCAUGAAACCCUCGAGCCCAAUUUUACUUUGAUCCAAAACUUUGGUGGGCCAUGAAAAAUGAAAAUAUUUUCCUCCCAUUGAUUUACAUUUCUCUUUACUAUGGCCCACCAGAAUUUUAUAUCAAGGUGACAAUUUUUCUAUUUGACUUUCUUGGGAUUCCGCAUCACAUGGACCGUUCAGAUUCGAUGCCCAUGACACAUGUGCAAAGGUGCACAUGUGUGUAGGUGAGCGUGACUCUAUAUGUCGAGUGCUCAGCUGUGCACUAGUUUGCACAAAACUCGUGCGAAUUUUUAUUAGAACUUAUUAUACGUGAUGUGAUUCCAAAAUUUGAACGGUCCACGUGAAGAAGCACCCCAUGAAACCCCCCAGGCCCAAUUUACUUUGAUCCAAAACUUUUGUGGGCAAUGAAAAAUGAAAACAGUUUCGUCCCUUGAUUUGCAUUUCUCUUUGCUAUGGCAACCAGAAUUUUAUAUCUAGGCGAAAAUUUUUCCCUUGGCGUUUCAUGGGUUUCCGCAUCACAUGGACAGUUCCAAUGAGACUCCCAUUACAUGUGUGAAAAGGUGCGCAUGGGUGUAGGCGCAUAAGUGAGCAUGACUCUAUAUGUUGAAUGCUCAGUUGCGCACCAGUUCGCAUGUGUGAGCUUUUUUCAGAACUCAUCAUACCUGAUGUGACUAGAAAAUCCGAACGGUCCACAUGAAGCAGCACCUCACGAAACACCUUGGGCCCAAUUUUUACUUUGAUCCAAAACUAUGGUGGGACAUGAAAAAUGAAAAGAGAUUCCUCACUUGAUUUGCAUUUCUCUUUGUUAUGGCCCAUCAGAAUUUAAGAUCAGGGUGAAAAUUUUCCCUUGAGGUUUCAUGGGAUACCGCAUCACAUGGACCGUUCGGAUUAGACGUUAAUGACAAGUGCGCAAAGGUGCACACGUGCAUUGGUGAGCAUCACUCUAUAUGUCGAAUGCACAGCUGCGAACCAGUUCGCAUGGAAGUCGUGCGAACUUUUUUGAAAACUCAUCAUACGUGAUGUGACUCCAAAAUCUGAACGGUCCACUUGAAGCAGCACCUCAUGAAACCCCAUGAGCCCAAUUUUUACUUUGAUCCAAAACUUUUGGUGGCCAAUGAAAAA